rnacentral:rRNA from 1 species
UACGAAGGGGGCUAGCGUUGCUCGGAAUUACUGGGCGUAAAGCGCACGUAGGCGGUCUUUUAAGUCAGGGGUGAAAUCCUGGAGCUCAACUCCAGAACUGCCUUUGAUACUGAGGAUCUUGAGUUCGGGAGAGGUGAGUGGAACUGCGAGUGUAGAGGUGAAAUUCGUAGAUAUUCGCAAGAACACCGGUGGCGAAGGCGGCCCACUGGAUCGGUACUGACGCUGAGGUGCGAAAGCGUGGGGAGCAAACAGG